GGUUAAGCGACUAAGCGUACACGGUGGAUGCCCUGGCAGUCAGAGGCGAUGAAGGACGUGCUAAUCUGCGAUAAGCGUCGGUAAGGUGAUAUGAACCGUUAUAACCGGCGAUUUCCGAAUGGGGAAACCCAGUGUGNNNNNNNNNNNNNNNNNNNNNNNNNNNNNNNNNNNNNNNNNNNNNNNNNNNNNNNNNNNNNNNNNNNNNNNNNNNNNNNNUGUGAGCUCGAUGAGUAGGGCGGGACACGUGGUAUCCUGUCUGAAUAUGGGGGGACCAUCCUCCAAGGCUAAAUACUCCUGACUGACCGAUAGUGAACCAGUACCGUGAGGGAAAGGCGAAAAGAACCCCGGCGAGGGGAGUGAAAAAGAACCUGAAACCGUGUACGUACAAGCAGUGGGAGCACGCUUAGGCGUGUGACUGCGUACCUUUUGUAUAAUGGGUCAGCGACUUAUAUUCUGUAGCAAGGUUAACCGAAUAGGGGAGCCGAAGGGAAACCGAGUCUUAACUGGGCGUUAAGUUGCAGGGUAUAGACCCGAAACCCGGUGAUCUAGCCAUGGGCAGGUUGAAGGUUGGGUAACACUAACUGGAGGACCGAACCGACUAAUGUUGAAAAAUUAGCGGAUGACUUGUGGCUGGGGGUGAAAGGCCAAUCAAACCGGGAGAUAGCUGGUUCUCCCCGAAAGCUAUUUAGGUAGCGCCUCGUGAAUUCAUCUCCGGGGGUAGAGCACUGUUUCGGCAAGGGGGUCAUCCCGACUUACCAACCCGAUGCAAACUGCGAAUACCGGAGAAUGUUAUCACGGGAGACACACGGCGGGUGCUAACGUCCGUCGUGAAGAGGGAAACAACCCAGACCGCCAGCUAAGGUCCCAAAGUCAUGGUUAAGUGGGAAACGAUGUGGGAAGGCCCAGACAGCCAGGAUGUUGGCUUAGAAGCAGCCAUCAUUUAAAGAAAGCGUAAUAGCUCACUGGUCGAGUCGGCCUGCGCGGAAGAUGUAACGGGGCUAAACCAUGCACCGAAGCUGCGGCAGCGACGCUUAUGCGUUGUUGGGUAGGGGAGCGUUCUGUAAGCCUGCGAAGGUGUGCUGUGAGGCAUGCUGGAGGUAUCAGAAGUGCGAAUGCUGACAUAAGUAACGAUAAAGCGGGUGAAAAGCCCGCUCGCCGGAAGACCAAGGGUUCCUGUCCAACGUUAAUCGGGGCAGGGUGAGUCGACCCCUAAGGCGAGGCCGAAAGGCGUAGUCGAUGGGAAACAGGUUAAUAUUCCUGUACUUGGUGUUACUGCGAAGGGGGGACGGAGAAGGCUAUGUUGGCCGGGCGACGGUUGUCCCGGUUUAAGCGUGUAGGCUGGUUUUCCAGGCAAAUCCGGAAAAUCAAGGCUGAGGCGUGAUGACGAGGCACUACGGUGCUGAAGCAACAAAUGCCCUGCUUCCAGGAAAAGCCUCUAAGCAUCAGGUAACAUCAAAUCGUACCCCAAACCGACACAGGUGGUCAGGUAGAGAAUACCAAGGCGCUUGAGAGAACUCGGGUGAAGGAACUAGGCAAAAUGGUGCCGUAACUUCGGGAGAAGGCACGCUGAUAUGUAGGUGAAGUCCCUUGCGGAUGGAGCUGAAAUCAGUCGAAGAUACCAGCUGGCUGCAACUGUUUAUUAAAAACACAGCACUGUGCAAACACGAAAGUGGACGUAUACGGUGUGACGCCUGCCCGGUGCCGGAAGGUUAAUUGAUGGGGUCAGCGCAAGCGAAGCUCUUGAUCGAAGCCCCGGUAAACGGCGGCCGUAACUAUAACGGUCCUAAGGUAGCGAAAUUCCUUGUCGGGUAAGUUCCGACCUGCACGAAUGGCGUAAUGAUGGCCAGGCUGUCUCCACCCGAGACUCAGUGAAAUUGAACUCGCUGUGAAGAUGCAGUGUACCCGCGGCAAGACGGAAAGACCCCGUGAACCUUUACUAUAGCUUGACACUGAACAUUGAGCCUUGAUGUGUAGGAUAGGUGGGAGGCUUUGAAGUGUGGACGCCAGUCUGCAUGGAGCCGACCUUGAAAUACCACCCUUUAAUGUUUGAUGUUCUAACGUUGACCCGUAAUCCGGGUUGCGGACAGUGUCUGGUGGGUAGUUUGACUGGGGCGGUCUCCUCCUAAAGAGUAACGGAGGAGCACGAAGGUUGGCUAAUCCUGGUCGGACAUCAGGAGGUUAGUGCAAUGGCAUAAGCCAGCUUGACUGCGAGCGUGACGGCGCGAGCAGGUGCGAAAGCAGGUCAUAGUGAUCCGGUGGUUCUGAAUGGAAGGGCCAUCGCUCAACGGAUAAAAGGUACUCCGGGGAUAACAGGCUGAUACCGCCCAAGAGUUCAUAUCGACGGCGGUGUUUGGCACCUCGAUGUCGGCUCAUCACAUCCUGGGGCUGAAGUAGGUCCCAAGGGUAUGGCUGUUCGCCAUUUAAAGUGGUACGCGAGCUGGGUUUAGAACGUCGUGAGACAGUUCGGUCCCUAUCUGCCGUGGGCGCUGGAGAACUGAGGGGGGCUGCUCCUAGUACGAGAGGACCGGAGUGGACGCAUCACUGGUGUUCGGGUUGUCAUGCCAAUGGCACUGCCCGGUAGCUAAAUGCGGAAGAGAUAAGUGCUGAAAGCAUCUAAGCACGAAACUUGCCCCGAGAUGAGUUCUCCCUGACUCCUUGAGAGUCCUGAAGGAACGUUGAAGACGACGACGUUGAUAGGCCGGGUGUGUAAGCGCAGCGAUGCGUUGAGCUAACCGGUACUAAUGAACCGUGAGGCUUAACCUU
rnacentral:rRNA from 1 species